rnacentral:rRNA from 1 species
AUGCUAGUGAUUUACUCAUGGAUUAAUUUAAUCGAGAAAUUGCCUAUUUACUCAACAAUCCAAAAACCUAUUAUGUGUAGGAAUUUCUCGGCAAGUGGCUUUGCCGCUGCACUGAAACCGGAUAAGUUUACCGGUACAUGCUUCAAGCGUUGGCAGACUAAGACCACGUUAUGGCUCACGGCUAUGAACGUGUUCUGGGUCACCGGUGUCUCCACGGGAACGAUUGCUCCUGAACAGGAGAAGGCGUUCAAGGAGGCUACCGUUGUGUUUCUCGGAGCAGUUCUUAGCGUGAUCGGGGAUAAACUGGUCGACGCAUAUUUACAUGUGCAUGUCGCCAAGGACUUGUGA